GGAUGUGAUCAUACCAGCACUAAAGCACCGGAUCCCAUCAGAACUCUGAUGUUAAGCGUGCUUGGGCGAGAGUAGUACUGGGAUGGGUGACCUCCUGGGAAGUCCUCGUGUUGCGUUCC
rnacentral:rRNA from 2 species